UACGGAGGGUGCGAGCGUUGUCCGGAAUCACUGGGCGUAAAGGGCGCGUAGGUGGCCCGUUAAGUGGCUGGUGAAAUCCCGGGGCUCAACUCCGGGGCUGCCGGUCAGACUGGCGAGCUAGAGCACGGUAGGGGCAGAUGGGAAUUCCCGGUGUAGCGGUGGAAUGCGUAGAGAUCGGGAAGAAUACCAGUGGCGAAGGCGUUCUGCUGGGCCGUUGCUGACACUGAGGCGCGACAGCGUGGGGAGCAAACAGG
rnacentral:rRNA from 1 species